rnacentral:rRNA from 1 species
CGUGUAGGCGGCCAGACAGGUCCGUUGUGAAAACUCGAGGCUCAACCUCGAGACGUCGACGGAAACCGUCUGGCUAGAGUCCGGAAGAGGAGUGUGGAAUUCCUGGUGUAGCGGUGAAAUGCGCAGAUAUCAGGAAGAACACCUAUGGCGAAGGCAGCACUCUGGGACGGUACUGACGCUGAGAGCGAAAGCGUGGGGAGCGAACGA